rnacentral:rRNA from 1 species
GGAUCAAUUUGCUGGUCGUGCCUCUGGUACGUACUGGUAUUAUUGGUUUCUCCCUUCUGACGAACCAUGAUGUCAUUAAUUUGAUGUCGUGGAGAAUCAGGACUGUUACUUUGAAAAAAUUAGAGUGUUUAAAGCAGGCAUUAGCUUGAAUACAUUAGCAUGGAAUAAUGAAAUAGGACGUUUGAUCCUAUUUUGUUGGUUUCUAGGAUUGACGUAAUGAUUAAUAGGGAUAGUUGGGGGCAUUAGUAUUCAAUUGUCAGAGGUGAAAUUCUUGGAUUUAUUGAAGACUAACUACUGCGAAAGCAUUUGCCAAGGAUGUUUUCAUUAAUCAAGAACGAAAGUUAGGGGAUCGAAGACGAUCAGAUACCGUCGUAGUCUUAACCAUAAACUAUGCCGACUAGGGAUCGGAUGAUGUUAAUUUUUUAAUGACUCAUUCGGCGCCUUACGGGAAACCAAAGUGUUUGGGUUCCGGGGGGAGUAUGGUCGCAAGGCUGAAACUUAAAGGAAUUGACGGAAGGGCACCACCAGGGGUGGAGCCUGCGGCUUAAUUUGACUCAACACGGGGAAACUCACCAGGUCCAGACAUAGUAAGGAUUGACAGAUUGAGAGC